rnacentral:rRNA from 1 species
AUUGAACGCUGGCGGAAUGCUUUACACAUGCAAGUCGAGCGGCAGCACGGGGGCAACCCUGGUGGCGAGCGGCGAACGGGUGAGUAAUACAUCGGAACAUGCCCAGUCGUGGGGGGAUAACACUUCGAAAGAAGUGCUAAUACCGCAUACGUCCUGAGGGAGAAAGCGGGGAUCGCAAGACCUCGCGCGAUUGGAGUGGCCGAUGUCAGAUUAGCUAGUUGGUGGGGUAAAGGCCUACCAAGGCAACGAUCUGUAGCUGGUCUGAGAGGAUGAUCAGCCACACUGGGACUGAGACACGGCCCAGACUCCUACGGGAGGCAGCAGUGGGGAAUUUUGGGACAAUGGGGGCAACCCUGAUCCAGCCAUUCCGCGUGAGUGAAGAAGGCCUC